rnacentral:rRNA from 1 species
AGAGUUUGAUCCUGGCUCAGGAUGAACGCUAGCGGCAGGCCUAACACAUGCAAGUCGAGGGGUAGUUGUCUUCGGACAAUGAGACCGGCGCACGGGUGCGUAACGCGUAUGCAAUCUACCUUAUACUAAGGGAUAGCCCAGAGAAAUUUGGAUUAAUACCUUAUAGAUAAUAAAAAGGCAUCUUUUUAAUUAUAAAGAUUUAUUGGUAUAAGAUGAGCAUGCGUCCCAUUAGUUAGUUGGUAAGGUAACGGCUUACCAAGACGAUGAUGGGUAGGGGUCCUGAGAGGGAGAUCCCCCACACUGGUACUGAGACACGGACCAGACUCCUACGGGAGGCAGCAGUGAGGAAUAUUGGUCAAUGGGCGCAAGCCUGAACCAGCCAUGCCGCGUGCAGGAUGACGCAUCUAUGGUGUGUAAACUGCUUUUGUACAGGAAGAAACAUCCCGACGAGUCGGGACUUGACGGUACUGUAAGAAUAAGGAUCGGCUAACUCCGUG